rnacentral:rRNA from 1 species
GAUGAACGCUGGCGGCGUGCCUCAAACAUGCAAGUCGAGCGGGGCUAUGUAAUAUCGCAAGGUAGAACAUAGCCUAGCGGCGAACGGGUGAGUAACACGUGGGUAACCCUGCCUGGAAGACAGGGAUAACGAUUUCGAAAGGGUCGCUAAUACCUGAUAAUAUCCUUUCAUCGCAUGGUGAUAGGAAGAAAGGGGAAACCCGCUUUCAGAUGGGCCCGCGUCCCAUCAGCUAGUUGGUAAGGUAAAGGCUUACCAAGGCGACGACGGGUAGCCGGUCUGAGAGGAUGUACGGCCACGACUGGGACUGAGAUACGGCCCAGACUCCUACGGGAGGCAGCAGUUGGGAAUCUUAGGCAAUGGACGAAAGUCUGACCUAGCGACGCCGCGUGAGGGAAGAAGGGCCUCGGGUUGUAAACCUCUGUCAUGGGGAAGGAAGUAAGUGACGGUACCCCAAGAGGAAGCCCCUGCUAACUACGUGCCAGCAGCCGCGGUAACGGAGUAGUACA